AACGAACGCUGGCGGCAGGCUUAACACAUGCAAGUCGAACGCCCCGCAAGGGGGGUGGCAGACGGGUGAGUAACGCGUGGGAACAUACCCUUUCCUGCGGAAUAGCUCUGGGAAACUGGAAUUAAUACCGCAUACGCCCUACGGGGGAAAGAUUUAUCGGGGAAGGAUUGGCCCGCGUUGGAUUAGCUAGUUGGUGGGGUAAAGGCCUACCAAGGCGACGAUCCAUAGCUGGUCUGAGAGGAUGAUCAGCCACAUUGGGACUGAGACACGGCCUAAACUCCUACGGGAGGCAGCAGUGGGGAAUAUUGGACAAUGGGCGCAAGCCUGAUCCAGCCAUGCCGCGUGAGUGAUGAAGGCCUUAGGGUUGUAAAGCUCUUUCACCGAUGAAGAUAAUGACGGUAGUCGGAGAAGAAGCCCCGGCUAACUUCGUGCCAGCCGCCGCCGUAAGAC
rnacentral:rRNA from 1 species